AAUUGAUGAUGUGGCAACUUAUUGUUGAAUAGAUGGUGAUUUUGGGAGGGAAUUCCUUUUAUUCUUUGUACACAAACAAAAACCACUAUUUGGACGCGGGAUCCGACUAAAUUCGGGUCGGAUUUAUGGGUAAUAUGGAUCCUAUAAAUCCUAUAAACAAACUUUUUUGACAAACCCUAGAUUGGUAUGUUCUCUCUUCUUCAAUACGCUGGUUCUUCUCAUUCUUCGCCGCCGAUUCAUCAUCCAAAACUGAUCCAUCAUCCAAACCCGAUUGGCUACGCUUAAGCUUAAACCUGGUGGAUUUUUUGUUUUGAAAGACAACCUUGCAAGAUCUGGUACUGGGACAGGUGUAAUCUCCCUAUUUUAUUUUAAUUAUAUUGUAUUUUUAUUAGAUUAUACAGUAAAGUUCAAUGUUUUGUGUUAUACCUUAGUGUUACAUGGUGAUACUUUUACCUAUUGUUUCUAAAUAGUGCACAUAAGACAGUUUGUACGAUUUUGAUGAAUGUUUGAAGUGGAAUAAAAUAAAAGUGGGAGCAAUCUGCUCAUCAAUCCAGGGUUGAUUUGAAAUUCUUUAUAUGUUGGGUGAAUUUAUGUCAAAUAACAAUGAUGGAGCAAAAAGUACGUCUGGUGGGAUGAGCUUGACUUUGGUAGGUCCUAAACAAUUUUGGUGGAGGUCUUGCUGGGAUCUUUUUUAUUUUCUUUAUGUUCUUGAAUGAGCUGUGUGUUUAUGAAUCGAACGUAACAAAACGGAAACUCCAGUUUCUUCUCUUUCUUCUGAAUCGAAUGUUGGUUUAGCUAAUUCAACAGACGAUCAAGUUCAACCACCAACACCUAAUGAAUAUGAUCAUCAACGAGAGCCAUAUGUAUUCAGAUGUUUGUCAUGCUUCAGCAUUUUAAUGCCCACAGGAAAUGGGUUUAAGUUAUUUCGCGGCUUUGGAAAUAAAAACAACGAAGAAAAAAGUGAACUUUCUCUGAAGGAAGUGCCUUUAAAGAAAAGCUGGUUUUCGAACAUAUUUAAAUUGGAAAAGGUGGAGAAUAAUGUCACUGAUCUUAACGUUUCAGUAGCCGUUCAGAGUUUAGAUAUGAAAAAUAAUGCUGGUGGAGUCUCUUCUCUAUCUUCUAACCUAAAUCCGUCAAAUGCAAGAAGCUAACGCACAUAUCUCCAACGGUACAACAGAUUUGGAAAAAAGUCAACUUUCGUUAGAUAAAGUUUUAAGAGAGAGCAGCGGUCAGUAAAUUUAUUCAGAACAUAUAUUCGGUUCAAAUAAGAACCAAUAAAAAUCUAAUCAACGUGAAAACAAUAUAGUGUAUUAGUGAACACAUUAUUCGAGUGCAGUGACAUUUUCGUAAUUAACGUAAAACCAUGUGUAUUCAGUAUUCACCAGUGAAUACACUAUAUACAAAUGAAUCAAAUUUUGACUUGACGUGUUUUCAUGCUACUUACGAAAUUGCCACUGAGUAAUAAAAUCUUCAUGGAACAGAUCUGACGGCCACAUGUGUGUGUGUGUGUGUGUCUGUUUUAGUAAACUUAUAUAAAAUCUACUUUGACUAUGUUUUAAGUCAAAUUACAUGACAAUGAUAUUUGACCAUGGUAUGAUUAUGAAGUUUCAGUUCAAGCACCAAAUGCUAUGCAUGAAGUUUCACAACACGCUGUUCAGAACAAUGUUGAAAUUCAUCUUGAAGAGCCUCUGACUGUCAACAAGGAUGUCUUAACAGACGGUCAAAAAGUUAAUCUUCUCGAAGAUGUGAACAAUAUUGAAUGGGUUAUAUUUGUUUAGCGUCUCUUAUUUCGCUGCAUGAACAGGACACGUUUUCUAACUUUCGCUCUCUAUGUGUUUGUUAGUUGUUCAUUGUUCUCAUGUCAUUGCUUUUGGAUUUUCGGGGAUGAUAACGUAGGUCAUCGCCGGUUUUCAGGUAAACGGGAGUGGAUAGUUUGUUGGCGUUGCUGAAAUGAUGGGGCUUGAUUUCUUAUACAGCCAUGUAACACAAGCCACCACCACAAUCUUGCACCUUAAUUCUCAUUAAGUUCAAUAGGAUGAAGACUCUUGGUUUCAAGUAGAAGGUUAUGUGCUUGCUAAAUUUUGUGCGUUUACCAAUGAAUCAACGUAUCGACUCAAUUUUUAUAGGAUCUGCUUAUGAGAAAAGGCCCGAUUUUUGGUUCCACUUUUGGCUCAAAUGGUUCUACCGCAUCUGCUACUUAUGAUGUUGUGACGAGUAGAGAGUUAUCCAACUCGGUUUGUUUUUAUUCUCCUCUGCGUAAUCAGGACAAACAGCAAGUGAUGACCUGUAUGAGGUUCAACUAACUAUACCAGUGGAGGGUUAUGAGUUGGAUAUACUCAUGUUCUCUUGGUGAUGGUGAACGGGAGUGGAUAGUUUGUUGGCGUUGCUGAAAUGAUGGGGCUUGAUUUCUUAUACAGCCAUGUAACACAAGACACCACCACAAUCUUGCACCUUAAUUCUCAUUAAGGAUUGAAGAUAUCGAUCGCAAGCAUAGAUGUUUGGAGUACUGAAGUACUAAAUCCUACCCGAAUAAUAGAGAUUAGAGAUGCUACUAACUUUUUUAGGCGAGAACAUGAGGUUGCACUUGACUCGAGCAAGCCUAGCCUGUCGGCAUCUGAUUAUGAUAGCGGAAGUCAAAUAACAACUGCCAGCCCUUCUAAUAUGACUAUAUGGAUCAGUUUCCUGCUAUGAAAAUUCAAUCCAGAUAUGUAGCAAAACCACCAAGAGCUGGUGGUAGGUGGUGUGGCGGUGGUGUCACCGAAAGGGUGGUGUGAGUUGCCGGCGUUGCAAGAUGGUGUCAAAGGGGAAGGUAGAAGUUGUAUUGCAGAGUUGUGGCGGAGGUGCUCCUUUGGCAACCGGAGUUGCAGGUGGCAGAGGUGCUCCUUUGGCAGCGGGAGUUGCAGUUGGCAGCCGGAGUUGGAGUUGGCAACGAGAGUUGCAGAUAGUGGAAUUGGAAGGUGUUGCCCUAAUGCAAUUGUCAACUUGAUUAGCAAUCCUGUGAAUUCUACGGUUCCAAUCGCUGCAGAAGUUUUCAAGAAAGCUGGUACUUAUGAACUGUUGCUUGAUUUCUACAGAGUUUUUAGCGAUGUUCAUGUUUGGAUGUGACGAAAUACUUAUAUAGAAGAAAAAAAGGUUGCAAAUGGAGCUGCAAAGGUAAAUUAUAUAAGAACUAGGUUUUUAAGCGGUUAUUAUAAUGUAUUUAUCUUAUUUCGACUUACUACGGUUUUUAAAGGAGAACAGGUCAAUAAAUAGGUUUUAACUAUAAAAGGAACCGGUUGAGUCAGUUUUAAAUCAAGACAACCAUUUUUGUUGUGUAAACAUGUGGUCUAAGCGUUAUAAACCUCAUUUUUUUAGUAGUUCUAUGGGGGUAUGCAAGACUUUGUUGGUGUAGUUGUAUUAUGGACAAAACCAAAUUGACCAUUAAAAAAAAGUCGUUUUGACCUAUACUGAUUUUGUCAAAAACCAUCCAUGCCCAUUAUGUUGCCUGACCUGCCCACCCGUCUUGCCAGGUAUAGUUUUAACGCGUUUGUGACAUGGCUUCAUAUAUAAUUUCAUCAUUUUAGCCGUUUAGGCAUGGUUUCAUAUAUGAUUUCAUCACUUGAGAUAUGUAAAGAGUGACUCUGUAAUUAGAAAUAACAUGAUGACUACUCCUCGCACAAUUUGAAGACUACAAUCGUUUGCGCAAUUUUUUAGUCUCAAUCACAGUGUAAAGAACAAAGUGUAAAGAAAGAACAUACAGAAGUGGAAUGAGCAAGUCAUUAUGUCUCUCUAAAUUACUUGCUCUUUACGUCCGCAUGUAGCGCCCGGUAUGUAGUUUUCGUAUAGAAUUUUUUAGGUAUAUACGUUUUCGACCCCCCGGUUUUAUAUUUUUUAGGUAUAUACGUUUUCGACCCUCCGGUCGGAAAUCUCAAGCUUCGCCACUGCUGCAGAUUCAAUUGGAAUUCAAGGAAGAAAAGUAAACGUUACAGGAACUGAUGGCUGUGUCCAGGUCCUCUCUACCUUCGGUGCGCGCUUGGGCGAGUUAGGUAAUGGGUCAAAGCUGGUAAAAUUUUUUGUAUAGGGGUUAGCCCAAAAUGCUUUUUGUCUAAUUUUAAAUGACUAGAAAACAUAUCCCUUUAAUAAUAGUUGAACUUCUAGCAUCUUUUGACAUGUAUGACCCGUUUAAGAUGUUUUGUCUUUUAAGCUUUUGUUUUGAUAUGAUUUGUAUUAAUCUAAGGAAAACAUUUUUAGUGCUAAAGACUACAUAGAUGGCUAUGAGAAUGUUGGGUGGUUGAACGUGGAUCGGUUAACGUUUUGAGGAAAAGGUUUGAUAGGGUCAACUUCAAAAGUAUAUUUCGGGUGAUUUUUUAUGUAUUUCCUCUAACUAACUUUUGACUAGGUAAAGUUUUGAUUUAUUUGGGUAUUCCUUAAACAAUGCAUCGUUUCAAGACGUAGCACAUGCAACAGCGUUAGCAUAAUUUGCUCAUGAGUAGAUGGACACGGCUUCUGUGCUUCAAGAAGCUCAUAUCUCUAUCAAUCUCCUUCAUGAACAGAUUAAGCCAAGGUCGAAGCGCAACAAAUUAUGGUUGCCUAUUCAUGGAUUCAAACCUUCAAUUGCAACCAUCAAUUCUAACAAUGAUUCUAACAUUCAAAUGCAACAAAUUAUGCUUGCCUAUUCAUGGAUUCAAAUCUUCAAUUGCAACCAUCAAAGUUUAAUGAAGAAGAUGGCAAAGUAUGCAAAGGAAGGCAUGAGGGUGGAAGCAAGCAAAUCAAAAAUUUAUGGAACAAAGCAUGAUGCUUUUGUUGACAUGAUUGCAAGUGUAUUUAUUUAAAUAUCUUAUAUGACUUCUUAUAAUGAUUGGCAUUGUGAUUGGCUUCUAACUUUUGAUGUCAAAUUUUGACACUUUGUUUAUGUAACAUGACACUUUGUUUGUAUUUUAUUUUGUUUCGAUUAUACACUUAAUAUAUGAUCCUUAAUAGUUCA